rnacentral:lncRNA from 1 species
GAUCUGGCACUUCUGUGGCUGUGGUAUAGGCUGGCAGCUGUAGUGCUGAUUAGACCCCUAGACUGGGAACUUCCAUAUGUUGUGGGUGCAGCCCUAAAAAGAAAAAGAAAUCAUGAGGGAAAUAAAGCAGUCUGGCAACAAAAACCUUCUUGGCCAGUUUUUAGAGCCAAAUAAGAUUAUAUUCUUUUUUUUCAUUUAAUAUUUACAGAAGCUCUCCAGUAUCCUGUGAGUGACAAAGGAGAGCAUGUGAGGGCAGAAAGAUGUGGCAAAUCACCCUACCUUAUCUCCAUCAAAUCUUUUUGGCUAAAUAUUCUCAAGAAUGGAUUGCAUGUUUCUCAAGUAUUUGUUUGUAUUUGCUUCUCAGGUAGGGAAGUUUCUGGAAUAAGGUACCUAAUAAUCGAGUCAUCCAGGAUUUGUUCAAACAAGAGACAUUUCAUAAUUACCUCAGAGACUGUUACUCUUUGAAGUACGAAAAAAGGCAAUAGAUGCCAGAUUCAGCUAUUAGGCCAAAUUCUCCUACAGUUAUCCCCAUAUAGGGGCACAGUUGUCUCUAAAGUGAAUUAUCUAAUGUCGUUAAAUAUUUACAGAUUAGAGAGUAGAGGUAUGGGCUUUGGAAUCAGAUAGAACUUGUUUUAAACCUGAGCUCUGCCACUUAGUAGGUACUUGACUUGAACAACUUAUUUAGCCUUUCAAAAUAAAUUUAGUCAUUUAAAAUUGGCAAUAUAUGUUGUAAUCAUUAUUUAAUUAGAUAUCAUGAUAAGUAGAGUAUGAAAGUGUUAGUUACACUUAGCACAUUUUGUGAUCUACACACUUUAACUUUUUAUUUAUGAUUGUAAGGAAAGAAAGAGAAACAACUAUCUCAUUUAGAUUCCGUCUUUCUUUGGAACCUCUUAAAUAUCAGGGGAGAGAAAAGUGGCCCAUUUAGAGUGGUGUCUGGAGGUUUUUAUUGCCAAUGAACCCACUGCCCUGGAAACUCAUAUGUUAACACUAUGCCUAUGAGUACCGUGCACUUUGAAUAGAGGUAGCACGUGAUUCUGCAAAGACAAAAAGUAAAGGCAGAUGGUAGGGAUAAAGAUACACUUGAAUGGCAGAUUGAAGCCUUGUCCAUUUGAGAAAUGACAAUGCAGUAUAUAAUGGGUGGUUAAAAAUGUGGAAACUAGAGAUGGACAAUUUAAGUUUGAAUCCCUCCAGCAAUAGCCAACUAUAAAACUUGAGAUCAAUUAUUUUACUUCACCUCUCUGUAUCACACUUUCAACAUAUACAAAAUAGUGAAUGUAAUAGAAUCUAUCUCUUAUGGUUUUGUAUAUAAAAAUAUUAGUAGAUAAAAAGUAGGUAGAACAUAGACUGGUAUAUAGUAAGCAUUCCAUUAAUAUUAGUUACUAUUUAACUCUGACCACAGGAAGAGUACAACAUGGCAAGGCCCAGUCUGUUGUAUUCCUGCCAGGUAAUUUACUUAUGUUUUUACUGAGAGAAAGAUGAAAGAAUGAGAUUUUCUACAGCCUUUAUAUUUUCUGCUAUGUGAAGAGGAUUUUUUUCAUGCUUCCUGCUUUGUAGUAUCUUUUUAGAGACCAGAAAAAAACUUGCCUCCAGAUGUCCUAAUUGAUGAAGAAAAAUUUUAUAACUGGAUAUCACCACCAUCAAUUACUUUGUUUUUGUUAACAAAAUAAGCAAUAACCUCAUGGAAAAAGUGGACUGAGUGUCUCUAGAGUUGACUGUAGAUGACCUUUAAAAUGGGAAGUGGAGCCAGUAUCCAGUGCUGUCCAGUAUUUUCAAUAGUUUGAGUAAACUUACAGAAGGCUGAGAAACUAACGUGGGUAACGACUGAUUAUUGCUUAAUAAUAUCUUUAUUAGGACAGUUGCUAACUGUCUCUGAGUUCUGGAUCUUUUAUUCCUUGUCAUAAUGAAAUAACUCUUCAUCCAUGUACAGCCUAGUAAGGAGCAGGUGUUUCUCCUUUAUCUACAGUCAAAACAUUUCAUGUAAAACAACAUCCCAGUAGAUUUACACAACAACCAAUAUUUUGACUACAUCUGCAUUUUUCUAUUCUUAUUGCUAUGUGAAUAGACUGUGUAGAAAAUACUCAAGUUUUAGACUUGUUUUUUCCUAAGUUAAAUAUAAUUGUUAAAAAUCCUUCUUUAUUGAGGUAUAGUGUUCAUACAAAUAAACAUACUCUUUUGAAGUUCAAUGAAUUUUAACAAAUGUACACACUUUUAUAACCAGCACCACAAUCAAGAUAUAUAUUACAUCUCUAUCAGCCCCCCUAAAUAUUCCUGUUUUGCGCUAAUAACCACCCUAUCCCCCACCUAGUCCCAGGCAGCCAUUGAUCUCUUUCUCUCAAUAUAGAUCUGGAUUUUUUUCUUUCCUAAAAUUUUAUGUAAAUGAUACCUCAUUUGUACUCUUUUUUGUGGCUGGCUUAUUUCACUCAGCAUACUGAUUCUAAGAUUCAUACAUAUCAUGGUACUUAUCAGUAGUUUAUGCUCCCUCUCUCUUUUUCUCUUUUUGCUACAUAGUAUUCCAUUAUAUGAAUAUACUAUAGUGUGUUUAUCCACUUACCUGUUUUAUGGCUAUGGGUUUUUAGUUUGGAGAUGUUAUGAAUAAAGCCACUCUGAACAUUUGUUUAUAAGUCCUUUUGCUAUUGCUAAUUCUUCCUACUGAUAUUUACAUGAAUUUUAUGUGUGUGUGAAACACUUCAUAGAAACAUGAGAGGAGAUAGACAUAAUAUAAUGACAAUGUCCUUGCUUUUGUUAUUUAAAUAAGUGUUUUUCUGUGUUUCUAAAGAUGGCGUGAUGUCAUCCUUUAAGUAUUGGGUAUGCCCUGGUGUGCCAUUUGCUUGGUAGUUACUGUGUUACCAGUUACCCAGGGUACCCAAGGUACAUGGGAGUGGCUAAGCAUUUGGGGGUUAUUUCUGUUCUUUUUUACAUCUCUCUCUCCUCUGUGACAUAGUUGGUGAUGUCAUAUGGAGAGGAAGUGAGUAUGUAGAGGGUAUUCAGUACUUCUUUGAAGAUUUUAGUAGUUUUUACUGGGAGAUUUUUCUUCUCUUCCUUUGUUCUGUAUUCUGCUUUAGUUCAUUGUACAAGCUCUCAUUCACUGACACACCCCUACCCCCCAGGUGUUUCCUUAACCAUUAGCCUCAGCACUGAAGCUACUGGGAAACUGGCCAAGAAGAACCAGUUUUAACAGAGUCAUGCACUUCAAGCUUUUCUUGAUUUUACCCUCAUUUGUGCAAUAUGUGACAUCAGCCUACACAGUCCACAUAAGAAAUGACUUAAUUCCAAGAAUCAGGAUCAGUGAUUUACUUACACUCCAGAUUAUGGUGAAAUCCCAACCUUUCUCAAACUUGGAGUUCCCCUUCAUUUAAUUUCUUUCUGCUUUUAUAGUCACCUGAAUUAUUUUAUUUAGGUUCUGACUAUCAUGAAUAUCACCCUGAAAUUCCUUAGUCAGUAAUCCAGACCUCAGAAACAAGUUCUUAGAAACCACUCAAAUCCGCAAUAAAAUAAAAACCUGAGAAUCUGAGACAAGUAGAUAAGAGUAGCAUCCAGACGUUCAGCCCUGAUUGUUUUGAAAAAUUCAGAGCAUACAAAGAAGUGUAUCCCAGUGAGGUGGUAAUUACUGAGCUCAGCAGCCUAUUGUUAAGAUAUUAAAUUAAAGCCAAAUAAGAUACCUAACAACACUGCUUCUUAAAAAUAGUGACUCAUAGCCUAAUUGACGUGAGAAUCAAAUAAAUAUUGUGGAACUGCUUUAGGGGGAAAGACUUCUUUUGGAUUUAAGUUUCAUUUAAUGGAAUUCAUUGAACAUAUCCAAAAAAUUUCCAUAAAUUGUCUAAUAAAAAGCAUAAAGUCUUAAAGAGUUUUAAAAAGGGAUGAUGAAACUCUUUCCCUUUGCCACCCACUUCAUGAAAGGAGGAAUAUAGUGCUGUAAAUUCCCCUGUAAUUUUAGUAAUGGGGACCUGGAUUUGGAAGAGAAUGUCUAGGUAAAGAGUCCAAGCUGGCACAAAACUGCCCAAAAUAUAUAAGGAGGUGGGCUUUCAAGAGUUCUGACAAGAGAGCAGUUGGAUGGAGGAACUUGACUAUGAUGCAUUAGACAUAUCAGUCCCAGAGUAAACGUUCACUCAGUCAGCUUGUGGUUUUGUUUUCCUCGUGACAGAAUAUUGAUUUGAUGGGUUCUUUUCUUCUAGUUCGCUCUACAGGUUUUAUUUUAAGCAGCUUCUAUGUUGCUCUCUGUUAUACCUUGGCAUCUUAGAAGGGUUUCUACGUAACAGUUAGGUAGUCUUGAUAACUUUUGUCACUGAAACUAGGUCCUUCCCAAUCAAGUUGAGAGAGAGUCAGAGGAGACCUUAAUGUGAGGCAGAAUGAGCAGACUAUUUGGCAUCACAGAACAGAAUUUUUUCUCUAAUGCAUCUGAAGGUGUAUUUUCAGUGAAAUUGUUAGCAUUUUGUUUCUUUGCUUUCUCACUUAGAAUGAGAGGAUAAAAAUACUUAGAGGAUCCC